UACGAAGGGGGCAAGCGUUGCUCGGAAUUACUGGGCGUAAAGGGCGUGUAGGCUGUUUAGAAAGUCAGAUGUGAAAUCCCAAGGCUUAACCAUGGAACUGCAUUUGAUACAUUUAAACUAGAGUGCGAGAGAGGAUUGUGGAAUUUCCAGUGUAGAGGUGAAAUUCGUAGAUAUUGGAAAGAACACCAGUUGCGAAGGCGGCAAUCUGGCUCGAUACUGACGCUGAAACGCGAAAGCGUGGGGAGCAAACAGG
rnacentral:rRNA from 1 species